ACGAACGCUGGCGGCACGCUUAACACAUGCAAGUCGAACGAGAGAAGAGAAGCUUGCUUUUCUGAUCUAGUGGCGGACGGGUGAGUAACACGUGAGCAAUCUGCCUUUCAGAGGGGGAUACCGAUUGGAAACGAUCGUUAAUACCGCAUAACAUAAUUGAACCGCAUGAUUUGAUUAUCAAAGAUUUAUCGCUGAAAGAUGAGCUCGCGUCUGAUUAGCUAGUUGGUAAGGUAACGGCUUACCAAGGCGACGAUCAGUAGCCGGACUGAGAGGUUGAUCGGCCACAUUGGGACUGAGACACGGCCCAGACUCCUACGGGAGGCAGCAGUGGGGAAUAUUGCACAAUGGAGGAAACUCUGAUGCAGCGAUGCCGCGUGAGGGAAGAAGGUUUUAGGAUUGUAAACCUCUGUCUUCAGGGACGAAAAAAGACGGUACCUGAGGAGGAAGCUCCGGCUAACUACGUGCCAGCAGCCGCGGUAAUACGUAGGGAGCGAGCGUUGUCCGGAAUUACUGGGUGUAAAGGGAGCGUAGGCGGGAUCGCAAGUCAGAUGUGAAAACUAUGGGCUUAACCCAUAAACUGCAUUUGAAACUGUGGUUCUUGAGUGAAGUAGAGGUAAGCGGAAUUCCUAGUGUAGCGGUGAAAUGCGUAGAUAUUAGGAGGAACAUCAGUGGCGAAGGCGGCUUACUGGGCUUUAACUGACGCUGAGGCUCGAAAGCGUGGGGAGCAAACAGGAUUAGAUACCCUGGUAGUCCACGCCGUAAACGAUGAUUACUAGGUGUGGGGGGACUGACCACUUCCGUGCCGCAGCAAACGCAAUAAGUAAUCCACCUGGGGAGUACGACCGCAAGGUUGAAACUCAAAGGAAUUGACGGGGGCCCGCACAAGCAGUGGAGUAUGUGGAUUAAUUCGAAGCAACGCGAAGAACCUUACCAGGUCUUGACAUCGUAUGCAUAGCUCAGAGAUGAGUGAAAUCUCUUCGGAGACAUAUAGACAGGUGGUGCAUGGUUGUCGUCAGCUCGUGUCGUGAGAUGUUGGGUUAAGUCCCGCAACGAGCGCAACCCUUACCAUUAGUUGCUACGCAAGAGCACUCUAGCAGGACUGCCGUUGACAAAACGGAGGAAGGUGGGGAUGACGUCAAAUCAUCAUGCCCCUUAUGACCUGGGCCUCACACGUACUACAAUGGCUGUCAACAGAGGGAAGCAAAGCCGCGAGGUGGAGCAAACCCCUAAAAGCAGUCUUAGUUCGGAUUGUAGGCUGCAACCCGCCUACAUGAAGUCGGAAUUGCUAGUAAUCGCAGAUCAGCAUGCUGCGGUGAAUACGUUCCCGGGCCUUGUACACACCGCCCGUCACGCCAUGGGAGUCGGUAACACCCGAAGCCUGUAGUCUAACCGCAAGGAGGACGCAGUCGAAGGUGGGAUUGAUGACUGGGGUG
rnacentral:rRNA from 1 species